UACGGGGGGAGCAAGCGUUGUUCGGAUUUACUGGGCGUAAAGGGCGCGUAGGCGGUCAGCACAAGUCAGUUGUGAAAUCUCCGGGCUUAACUCGGAAAGGUCAACUGAUACUGUGCGACUAGAGUGCGGAAGGGGCAACUGGAAUUCUCGGUGUAGCGGUGAAAUGCGUAGAUAUCGAGAGGAACACCUGUGGCGAAGGCGGGUUGCUGGGCCGACACUGACGCUGAUGCGCGAAAGCCAGGGGAGCGAACGGG
rnacentral:rRNA from 1 species